GCCAAUUUAGCAGGGAAGUUCUGCCUAAGGGAUGGGUCAGAGCUGCUGCCAUGUGAGACGCCUUGCGCUCACAAUGGCUGCCUCUGGACUUCUUGGGAUCAGACUUAAUUCAGACUCUUGCAAAAGAAACUGCUCUCAGACACAGCCCUCAAAGUGGAAAGAAAGUAAAAAUACAUAUUUGUUUGCAAAGAUCUUGUAUUAAUAAAUCCUCACAUUUAUGCAUGUCAGAAAUGUGAUAAAGCCAUAAGCUCUAUUCUAAAUUCUUGUUUUGAUUAGAAUGCCAGUAGCAAAACCAGGAUCGAGUGCAUUCCUUAAUUUCUUCCACACAGUCUGCAUUUGCAGUCUGCAAGGUAGGCACUACCUUGUGCCAAAGGAUAUAGGAGGGAAGUGCUCUGCACUCCUGAGCAGCACUUGAUCUCAAUUUGUUUUCCUCUGUGCUCUUUGCUGUUCUGUGCUGGAUUCUAGAAUAGACAGGUGCAAUUUUUCUGGCUUCAUUUAGGCAUCAAGUCAGUAGAUCUGUAUGUAAGUCUAGUUUUGUACUCCUUUAUUGCCUAUGGAGUUAAUGCAAGGAAGAGUUCCUUUAGAGGAUGAACAAUGGAAUACACCUUAAAGACUUGUUUGGACUAGCAAGCUCAUGUUCAGCACAAGCUCAUCUCUUUCCAUUGCUUGUGGAAGGAGCAUGGAGAGGAGCUCAGCCUUAAACACUCAGAUUCAUCAUCCCCUCCAGCUUUUCACCAGGCAGUGCUGGUGACACAUCCCUGUUUUGUAGAAAGGUUGCUGCUUUUUGUCUUAUCUCUGCUUUACUUUAAAGCAUCCACCCCUCUGAAUUUAUGGUCAUUUGAGGCCUCACCUGUCCAAGGGACACUUUCAGAAAAGUUUCCAAUGUCUGACAUUAACUCUGAUCUAUCAAUGAUUAUCUCCUUUACACUAUAUAAUGAUUUAUUUUAAUAUAAGUAAAACUAAUGUCUUCUUACUUUUUCUGACUUGCAGGUCCCAAAAAUUUCCCCAGUGUUGGAGAUUUCUGUUUUCUCCACAGAUGGUUGCUGCGCUGUUCCUAAUUUCUUUUGUGGAGCUCUGGGAGAUUGUCUUCAGCUGCCUCAGGAUCACAAGCGCAGAGCAGGGUUCUCUGUUUUGUGCUUGCCACAUUAGGCACUGUCACACUGAGUCCCAGCCAGCCCAUGCAAAGGUGGCACAGGAGCAGCAGCCAGUGCUGCUCACAUCACUGAGACGCUGUGAGCACAGCAAUGUUUAUCCUCCUUCAGCAUAAACAGGUUUGAUGAGAGUGAGUCUAUCAUAAAAGAUGUUUGCCUACUGGGUAAAUGUCUUUCUUCUAAUUGUUUGCUAAUUAGCAAACAGCUAACCCCACUGAUUAUCAAAAUUCUUUCUCCAGAGAAAAUGCUGCCAAGAGUUUAAUAAAUCCUUUUCCCUCAUCCUUUUUAAUUUUAAAAAUUGUUCCAAAUAUCAUUUGGUAGCUAUCACCUAAGGAGGCAUUCCAUUUGAGUUAAUCAGCUCCUGCAAGGUUAUCUGUGAUCUAUCUGAAAGUGCCUUAGCCAGCAUCUUGCUUUCUGUCUUAAUUUGCAAUUACUGGCCUAAAAUUGUCACUUACCACAGGCAUUUGUACUGACCUCUCAAAUUAAGAUCAUCCACAAAAUUAGAACUGGAAGAAGCCUAUUUGGUCACUUACUCUAUCUUCAAAAGUGCAUUUAUUAUUCAUGGUGUGUGGCAGGGAAUGUAAGUGUAGGGUAUGAUUGAGAACACUGCAGGUGACUAGUCUUUGAAAUGUAAAUACAAUUAAUGAGUGUACCUGUCUUCCCUCAGGAUCUGUCCUUGCCUGCUUUGUCAUUCUGAUUAUUUUUCUUCUCUUUGAAGGGGCUCCUGAUUUUCCUUCCUUCCUUCUCAGUCAAGACUGAAAUAACAUUUGGCAGAAGGAUUCUGAGUGGUAAAAAGCACAGGAAAUAUUCUAUGGAUUUCACAAAACACGCGCUUUACUAGCAUGCCUUUCACAUCUCAUUGUGACCAGGAGUGAGCUAAGUGUUGCCUUUAUACUUUGGCACAAAAAUCAUUUGACAUGAACAUACUAUCACAAGUUUAAAAAAAGAACACCAGCUUGCUUGCAGUGAAAGCCCACAUUGGCAACAUUGAGCUAUAGUGAAACUGUGCCAUUCACUAGCUGUCACAGGCUGCCAACUAAAAGCAUCACAUUUCAUACAGCAAAGUAGAUUGUCCCAGGGAAAACCAAGAAAAAUUAUUUGGGAAUACUUGAGGUCAGCCAAGAAAGAGAGCAGCACAUUAAGUCCCCAGCUCUCAUUCUUCACUUCCCCAUGCCUAAUCUUUAUUCUUUAUAAUUGUAUACAGUGGCUUGCAAAGAGGUUAAAACAUAUAAGAAAGACCAACACCUACUCCAUGUCCUGGGAUAGAACUGCAAAUAGCUCCAAGAAGGUGCCAGAACAGGUGAUGGCUGCUAAGAGAAACACAGAUGGACCAGUGGUGUCAGUGGUGAAGCUACAUGCUUGUAAUAGCUAAUGUCUCACUCUUAUUUAGGAGGUGCCAAACCCACCUCUACUGAAACAUCACCUAAGGCUCAAAUGAUUGGGACACAAUUUACUAAUGCCAGGAUUGCUGAAACAGAGUAUUCAAUUUCUUCCAGAAGUUCACCAACUGUACACAACUGUAGAAGACAGACAACCUGCUAAAGGAAUGUUUAACUGUUACUGGUGUCAACUUGAAAACAAACAAAGCAUCCACAGCAUUAAAAAGGAAAAAAAAAUUUUAAAAGGCAAAAACCUGGAGUAGGAACCAGGGGUCCUGGUUCAUUUGGACAGAAAAUAAUUUCAAUUUUGAUGACAGAGAAAAUUCUGAGUCAAUUUCUCAAGUGUUGAAGUUAAUGACAAAUUAUUUUAAUCUUAGACAUUUUUGAAAUGUAACUAAUUCCUGACAUGCACUUUGAAUGAUGUACUAUUGAUUAGCCUUCUGGGUACAUUCAACAAUAGAGGUCAAAUUCUUUAAAUAUUCCUCACAGAAGUUAGCACUUGGGCUUCAGAGAUGGGGAAUAAAGUAUGAAUGUACCAUUCACCCUUUGCACAGCUGAUCUCUGCAGAGCACAGGAAGUUUCAACAGAAGUUCUUGCUGCCUUUAGUUUCUUGAUCCUUUUUUUUAAACGGGUUUCACCUCUGGCUUUCUGUGCUAUCAUGAAGCUGACUCCUCUGCAACCCCUCAGACACCUUCAGUGCUUAAGUCCCACGUGGGAGGCAGCAGCUUGGAGUUUUCAUUUCCAGCUAGCGGGAGGUGCCGUUGGAUAAAAGCGAGGGUAAUCCUCUCAGCAUGCAAUUCAGCAGCAAUUCUAAGCAGGUCUCAAAAGAUGAAAUCAGCUGAAGAAACUGAUCAUUUGAGAGGUUGGUCCUGUGCUGGUCAGUGUUCAGGAGUCUAUAUGCACUGCCUCUUCCACUUGAUCUGCAAGGCAUGUGUGCUGUGCCCAGCGUAGGUCCAGCACAGCACUGCCGUUGGGCCAUGUGUGUGCAGGCUCAGCUGGACUCGAUCUCAGAGGUCUUUUCCAACCUAAAUAAUUCUGUGAUUCUGUUCCAGGCUGGAGAGGCAACAGUGCCCACCCAGAAGAGGCUCACUUGCCAGGCUAACAUUCUGUAUUUUUGGUGAAAGGAUUUGCACGGGAGCCCCAUGAAGGGGAAAAAAAAGCAGAAAACUCAGUUUUAUUUCUCACAGCCACCUGCAUGAGCUCAAGGGUCCCUGCUCCCUGCAGCAGAGCCCAGCACCUCAGUUCAGCAUCACACUGCUUCUAAACAAGAGCUGCAACUGCCCCUAAGGGAGAGAAGCAUAUAAGGGAGUGAGUCUCUAAAACACUCCCAGAAAGCACAACACUUACUGAUCAUCACAGCAUCCCUCAAGGUGGAAGUCACUCCUAAGGAUCAUCAAGUCCAACUCCAUGCUCCUCACAGGACGAACUAAAACUAAAGGACAUGAUGGAGCAACAUCCAGACAACUCCUUGAACUCUGACACAUUUGAUGGCAUGACCACUUCCCCUGAAGCCUGUUAUGGAUACUGUCAAAAUUUCUUGGAAAAUUACUAGCAAGGAAAGACAUGUGCAGAGACUUUUAAGAUACUUGUGCCCAUGUGUAUUUAAAUUUGUGUUCUAUCUUGUGGAAGAUGAGUCAGGAUCAGCAGGGGGAAAUGCUGGCUCUCAGGAUGAAUGAUUGCCAUGUUCACUCACAGAAAUCCUGUCAUUACACCAUCUUUCCAUCCUUGGCUACUCUUGAUUCAUCCCAGGAUCUUUUGACAGUGAAGACAUUCACAAUAUGACAAGUUACCAGUGCUGUGGAUUUGGGUGACAAGCAUAUGGAAGGAAAAAAAACUCUCAUCAUCUCUUUCUUCAGGAGCCCCACUGAGCAGGAAACAGGGCAGCACCAUCUUACUAAGAAUGAAUCUGAAUGCAAGCUGUGCAUUAACACCCCACAUGGAACCCUUAAGUCCUUGAGAACAGCAGCAGUAUUUAAUUAACUUAAGCUUUAAAUACUGUCUAGUAAUAGCCUAAAUUAGCAUUGAGAAUAAAGAGCAUGAAUUCAGUAAUUUUUAUAGUACCAUGGAACACAGAUAUAACGUGAAAGACUUGCAGCACAGGUAUUGUUGGUUCUCUAUUAUUAUCAUUAUUAUUAUUUUGGGAGGCUGUUUUUUCACUUGUUCUUGUUGCUUGUAUUUAUUUGGAUUUUUUUAAACUUCAGUGGCUCCCUUCAGUUUUACAGCAUGUGUGGGAUAUCCCACCUUUCUGAAAGAUGUCUACAUCAAAGCAGAUGAAUGCACCUAGACUGUUAGAGACAGUGUGAAAAAAACAAUUCAGCAUUUUUAUUCAUAUUUACUACAAUUUAUUUUCACAUUUUAAAAAGGUCACAUAUCAGUUUAAAGGUAAAAAAUACUUGUUGAAAGCUGAAACUUUUCCUUUCAUUAAAAAAAUAGUCAAAGUAAUAACCUUUACCUGAACAGCAUUAUGUAGGCUGAGGCCAACCCAAGAGUGUCAGACAGCAAGUGAACUUGCUUUAUGAAGGUAUAAUCCUUCUAAAUAACGUGUUACAUGUGAUUUACAAGCAACACCAAAGUAUUGCUCCUCCACAAUUUCAAUGCAACUGCUUACAAAGAAAAAAAAAAAAAAA